GUGACCCCAGGUCAGGCGGGACUACC
rnacentral:rRNA from 2 species